GGUACAGUGUUAGUUUUGUGACUGUGAAAAAAAUCUACCAUAGCUCACAAAAGAAAUUAUUGUGACUUCUGUCUAAAUGUUUCUUCCCACACUGCACCACUGCAACCUGGUAAAGUCACCCAGCUACAAUGUAGGCAACAGUAAAUAGUUGCCAUGGCCUUUUCCCCCCCUUUGGUCCAGAAUUUGUAUUGUUUCACUUCAAGGUCCAUCUGUGUGCUCAGAUUUGUUGACAUAUUCUCAUAGCACCCAAACCUGUUAAUUUAAGCCCACAGGACUGCUGAACAUCAAGGUGCCAUGCCGAUGCAUCCAUCAUGUUCUCAGAAGAUACAGUCGUUACAAUUACACGUUAAGUGAACCAAAGGAAUUUUCCACGCAUCGCCUCCGUUCAACUUUGAGAUCCUUACCGUCCACUACACAGGAUGUAUCGUGUCCUUGGACGUAGCAUGCGUGUUUAUCUCAUUUCCCAAUGUUUUUCCACGCAGUUUGAGGAUACAGGGCAGGAAACAUCGAAGGACACUAUAGAACGCCCCACCCAACACAAACAAAGGAGUAACAGUUACUGAAAUUUUCUCCAGAUGACCUUUCCCUCAAUUUGGCUGAGACGCUUCAGAGGAACCCCAAAAUAGCUGGCACCAUUGUUACAUUCUGUCUGCAUUUCCAAUUAAACGUGUGUUACAGCAU